rnacentral:misc_RNA from 1 species
UCAACUUGAGUUACGAAUACACAAUAAAAUGUUCGUUAUUUACAUGUAAGUAACUGCAUAUGCAGUAAGAAUGCAAUAGAUCUGUACAGAAUCCCCUCAAAUUUCACCCAUGAAUGCUUUGGAUAAGAGAAUUUCUGAUCACUAUGACCAACUCAUCAUUAUUAUUCUUUUUUUCACAAACUAGGCUGACUCUCUGCGGGUGCUACUCUAUUCUAUGUCUCGUGUGCAGUGUCAUCAGACAAUGUAGCAAAGGAAGGAAGCCAGACUUCUAUCCGGGUUCCACCAGCUCCAAGAGCUGCAUCUGUGAACCGAGGUGAUAUCACACGGACAACACAACCAUAACUCUCAAGUAUCUCACGAGCAACAGUCAGCCCAGCGACAAAAUUCCAAGUCAUGUUGUCUUCAAUCUUAUUUUCUGAAAAAAGCUCUGCUCCAAAUGGUACUAGCGAAUGCAUCUGGGUCAUAUAGUGCAUAUCAGGGCCAUCAUCAUCAAUAACUACAAGGGCACCACCACCUGCAGGUGCUUCAGUAGACACAAUUUCAACCUUACCCUUAACAUGCGUACGCAACAAUGCGCCUUCAAUUAAAUUGCUCAAAGCCUGGCGCAAAGCUGGCUCUUCCACAGCAACUUGCAAAGAUUGACAGAUUUCAGUGAGCUCUACACUGCGUUGCUG